rnacentral:lncRNA from 1 species
AAUAGUUUGUCGUUCAGAGUCAGAGCCCUUGCAUGUUGUUCAUCAUUCAUCUCCCUUGCUCUCUUUAGAAAAAGGUUUGAAGCACAAAGCUACUUUUUACUAGUAAUAUUGACGUAGGCAGGCUGGAAAAGGUUGAAAAUAGAGUUAAUAAUAAGCAUGUGGCAACGUCUUUUCUUUGUGGGGUUGGCACCUGUUAAUGUCCAAUGUCGUUUCUUGUGUGCUUUUACACACCAAGCAAGUGUAGUUGUGGUCGUUGGGUGAACAAACUCUCUAUAACCAUGUCAACUUUGGAUAAUUUCCUUCAGCUUUUGGAUUACAUCACAUACAAUUUCAUUGAGCUUUUGCCCAUAGCUUACAAAUUACAAUUGUGUCGUCAGCUUGAUUGGGUAAUCACAUUUAAGAAUUAAACCAUAACCAGUCAACAAAAAAAAAAAAAAAAAAAAAAAGAAGAAGAAGACCAUCCUCCUUUGGUCUAUUUAUAUCCUAAUUUACCUAAUUUUGAAUUCGAUCAGGAAGAAAAAAACUUAUUUGCAAUGGGAUGUAUAUAUUCUUUCUCUCUUUUCUUACGUGUCCGUUUCUCUCUGCCAAAAGAGAGAGCCCGAGAGAAAAAAGGUAUACACAGUACACAUGCGUUUCACUACAAUGACUAUACUUGCAGGUUGUUUUCCUACGAAGCCAAUCGGUUCUUAAUUUUUUCCCUAAUCAGCAAGGGAAAAUGUCAAUAUGAUUAAGUUUGAGACGCAAUGUCACCUUUUUUGAGUACCAUAACAGUUUCCUUCGUAAUAUUUAAUGCACCCCACUAUCAUUACACCCAG